UACAGAGGUGCCGAGCGUUAGGCGGAAUCACUGGGCUUAAAGCGUGUGUAGGCGGAUCUGUAAGUACCUUGUGAAAUCCCACGGCUCAACCGUGGAACUGCUUGGUAUACUGCGGGUCUUGAGCCACCUAGGGGCAAGUGGAACAAACGGUGGAGCGGUGAAAUGCGUAGAUAUCAUUUGGAACGCCAAUGGUGAAAACAGGUAGCUGGGGCUGUGCUGACGCUGAGACACGAAAGCCAGGGGAGCAAACGGG
rnacentral:rRNA from 1 species